GAUCCUGGCUCAGGAUGAACGCUGGCGGCGUGCCUAACACAUGCAAGUCGAGCGAAGCACUUUGCUUAGAUUCUUCGGAUGAAGAGGAUUGUGACUGAGCGGCGGACGGGUGAGUAACGCGUGGGUAACCUGCCUCAUACAGGGGGAUAACAGUUAGAAAUGACUGCUAAUACCGCAUAAGACCACAGCACCGCAUGGUGCGGGGGGUAAAAAACUCUGGUGGUAUGAGAUGGACCCG
rnacentral:rRNA from 1 species